rnacentral:rRNA from 1 species
GACGAACGCUGGCGGCGUGCUUAGCACAUGCAAGUCGAACGGAAAGGCCCUGCUUUUGUGGGGUGCUCGAGUGGCGAACGGGUGAGUAACACGUGAGUAACCUGCCCUUGACUUUGGGAUAACUUCAGGAAACUGGGGCUAAUACCGGAUAGGAGCUCCUGCUGCAUGGUGGGGGUUGGAAAGUUUCGGCGGUUGGGGAUGGACCCGCGGCUUAUCAGCUUGUUGGUGGGGUAGUGGCUUACCAAGGCUUUGACGGGUAGCCGGCCUGAGAGGGUGACCGGCCACAUUGGGACUGAGAUACGGCCCAGACUCCUACGGGAGGCAGCAGUGGGGAAUAUUGCACAAUGGGCGGAAGCCUGAUGCAGCAACGCCGCGUGCGGGAUGACGGCCUUCGGGUUGUAAACCGCUUUCGCCUGUGACGAAGCGUGAGUGACGGUAAUGGGUAAAGAAGCACCGGCUAACUACGUG